UCCAUUCAUUUCAUUGGAUAACAUUCAUUUCUUUUCAUUCAUUUUUGAAUGACAAAUAAUUUCAAUUCAAUUCAAAAUGUACAGGUCUAUUACCAAGAAGUUCUUGGAAAAUUUCACAUUGUUUG